UGCGCAUGGAGAACGGCCGCGGCGGAGACUGCUCCCGAGCGCGGAGAGAGGCUGUGGGCGCCGGCAGGCGAGCGCGAGUCCGGGGUCUGCGCGGCGCUGCUGGUGAAUAAAAAGGAGAGAGGAGGCGCCUCUUACUGCUCUGCCGGAAAACUGCAGCCUGCGCUCCUGAUUGGACUCACCGAGCCCUAAACAAACAGCGCUCGCCGAAGGGUGCCAGGCUGUGGGUCGGAACUGCGCUGUGCGAGCAGCUGGGCGCUGGAGGCUAGUCCCUGAAGGCGCGCGUGAUGAAAAGGGCUUCCACCCCAGUCGCGCCCCGAGAUGCUUUCCAAGUUUUGGUGUCCCGUUUGCUCUGAGCUUAUCCUGGAGAACUUCAGCUUGUUAUCUAGGCCACCCAUGACCGACGAAAGAUCUCCCCUCCCGGCUUCUCCCAAGGCCGCUUUAAGCCAAAUAAAUUUAGCUAUUAAGGGCCAAGAUGUCUGACAAAAGAUCGAAAGGUGUCUAUCCGUGGUCGCUUAAAGAAGCGAAGGAGAAGCUGGUGGCUCUCUGAUCCCGAUAAAGACAUUCCACACGGCGCCGGCCUCCCUCCCCGCGGCCUGGUUGCGUCCUGACACCCUGAGUUCUCCGCUUCUCUGGCCAGAUCUCCACGGGCCCGGCGAGACCUGCGUCCGUUGCCCUGGGAAUGUGGCGGCCUCGAGGCGGCCGGGCCUGGAGGUGCCAGGCCCCAGGGUCCCGGGAGCCGUGGACCUCCAGGCCGGGCGGGGCUGGGCUUCCAAAACAGACCCCCUGCGCUUGGCAGAAAAACUAAACCGAGCUCAUUAGGGCCUGAAUUACUGUACCUUUUUGAUUAUUGUUCGAUGCUG
rnacentral:lncRNA from 1 species